AACCAACGCUGGCGGCGUGCCUCAGACAUGCAAGUCGAACGAUUAAAGCUCUCUUCGGAGAGUGCAUAAAGUGGCGCACGGGUGAGUAACACGUAAGUAAUCUACCUUCGAGUGGGGAAUAACGUCCGGAAACGGACGCUAAUACCGCAUAAUGCAGCGGCACCUAAUGGUGACAGUUGUUAAAGAAUUUAUUCGCUUGAAGAGGAGCUUGCGGCAGAUUAGCUAGUUGGUAAGGUAAUGGCUUACCAAGGCUUCGAUCUGUAACCGGUCUAAGAGGACGGUCGGUCACACUGACACUGAAUAACGGGUCAGACUCCUACGGGAGGCAGCAGUCGGGAAUUUUGGGCAAUGGGCGAAAGCCUGACCCAGCAACGCCGCGUGAAGGAUGAAGUAUUUCGGUAUGUAAACUUCGAAAGAAUGGGAAGAAUCAAUGACGGUACCAUUUAUAAGGUCCGGCUAACUGCGUGCCAGCCGCCGCGGUAA
rnacentral:rRNA from 1 species